AUACGGAGGAUCCGAGCGUUAUCCGGAUUUAUUGGGUUUAAAGGGUGCGCAGGCGGCCAUUUAAGUCAGCGGUUAAAUCGUGGGGCUCAACCCCAUUCUGCCGUUGAUACUGGGUGGCUUGAUUGCGGUCGAGGUUGGCGGAAUUCGUUGUGUAGCGGUGAAAUGCAUAGAUAUGACGAAGAACACCGAUUGCGUAGGCAUCUGACCAGACCGCAAAUGACGCUCAUGCACGAAAGUGCGGGGAUCGAACAGGAUUAGAUACCCUGGUAGUCCGCACAGUAAACGAUGAAUACUUGUUUUCGGCGAUAUAAUGUCGGAGGCAAAGCGAAAGCGAUAAGUAUUCCACCUGGGGAGUACGCCGGCAACGGUGAAACUCAAAUGAAUUGACGGGG
rnacentral:rRNA from 1 species